GACGAACGCUGGCGGCGUGCUUAACACAUGCAAGUCGAACGGAAAGGCCCUGCUUUUGUGGGGCGCUCGAGUGGCGAACGGGUGAGUAACACGUGAGUAACCUGCCCUUGACUUUGGGAUAACUUCAGGAAACUGGGGCUAAUACCGGAUAGGAGCUCCUGCUGCAUGGUGGGGGUUGGAAAGUUUCGGCGGUUGGGGAUGGACUCGCGGCUUAUCAGCUUGUUGGUGGGGUAGUGGCUUACCAAGGCUUUGACGGGUAGCCGGCCUGAGAGGGUGACCGGCCACAUUGUGACUGAGAUACGGCCCAGACUCCUACGGGAGGCAGCAGUGGGGAAUAUUGCACAAUGGGCGGAAGCCUGAUGCAGCAACGCCGCGUGCGGGAUGACGGCCUUCGGGUUGUAAACCGCUUUCGCCUGUGACGAAGCGUGAGUGACGGUAAUGGGUAAAGAAGCACCGGCUAACUACGUG
rnacentral:rRNA from 1 species